UGUUUACAAUAUUAAAGAACCACUUAUUCCUAUUAAGUGGUGAUUUUGAUUUUACUUAUUUUUUUUAAAAAAAUUCCAUAUAUAACUAAUUAUUAAUAAAAAUCAACACACACAUCUAUAAUCCACUAGUAGCAGUUAAUCACCUCUUAUUCAAAAAUAAAGGUAAAACCCGUAAUAUACUAUUCUUUAAUUACUUAAUUGUACUUUUAAUUUACUUCAUCAUUAACAAAUUGCCGAUGCAAGCGUAUAACUUCUUGACUUCUUCCAUCUUCCCUCAAAUACGCACUACCCGAGCAAAAAAAAAAAAUUGCACAUACACCCGCCUGAAUUUGCACCACAGUCGCCGGCAAUCGUCGCAUUUACCUCGCCGGCCAAUUCGUCUGCGCCAGUGGAGUCGUCUUUGCCGUCGUCCAAUUACCCGAUAGAACAAGAGUCGUCUUUGUCCGCCAUUGUUCCAUUACCACAACCACGCCACAGCCACGCCACAACGACGCCAAUUCGUCCGCCAGUAUACUGGAGGGGGAUGCUUGUGACUUUGUUGGUUUGAGUGAAUGGUCAAAUGCCUACCCAAAAGUACAGAUGAAAAUGCAAAUGCAUUGCAAAUCAUCUUCUCAGGAUCCUAGUUGGCUGUACUUUGGCGGAGUUACAACUGAAUUUUCUCAAAAUGAGCUUGAUGAGUUAAGAGACUUGUGGAUCAAAUAUGUGGAUGAAUAUAAACAAGUGGAUGAAGAAGAUUCGGAAGAUAAUGACGAUUUUAAUUAGUAUGUGUGUAUUUUCUUUUUGAGCGGGAUUACGAAGGUGCUUCUAUUUUUGUGCAUAGGAAUUGGAAGAGACAGGCUUAGGUGUUCUAUUAUUUUUUUAUAACUUUGUUAAAUUUUUGGAAUCUUUUAACAUUAUAUUGAUAUGCAUGUGAUUUUUGUAGUAAAUGAUAUUGAAUGAAUGAAAAGGUAUUCCAAUUUUAAAGUCA